GGAAUAAAGGUUAGUAAUUCCCCGGCGUUACUGUGCGGUGCGCACCACACCUGUUUGUGUUUAUUUUCUGCCCUUAAAAAGCGUACUGAUUGGGUGAGCUGCAGGAAUCCGGCCGUGGCAGAUUUUAGUGGCAAGGUGCAACCGCCAACUCACGGGAGAUCCUCGGAUCUUUCCUAGGUAAAACACCGGAAAAGAGCUCGAGGUGCUGAGAGCUCACGGCUUGGGAUGGAGCUGAAAGAAUAAAGAUUUUUAAACUAUCCCCCACUGACCCUGCUGUGAGGCCCAGUGCACCUCAAAGUUCAGGACAGGUAGAGAAAAUAAAUACAACUCUAAAGGAGACCCUGACCAAAUUGACCAUGGAGACUGGCAUAGACUGGGUGGCACUCCUUCCCUCUUGCUCUCUUCAAAACAAGAAAUACCCCUUCCAGAUUCAGCCUUACCCACUUUGAGAUCUUAUAUGAGGUCUCAGCUCCUCUGACUGUAUUAGAUGAUGUUAUUAAACCAACAUAUCAUAGUAAUAAUAAUUUGUAUGCCAGGCUAAAAGACCUACAGGUGAUACAGAAAGAAGUCUGGUCACAGCUGACAGCAGCCUAUGCCACGGGGACCCCUGAGACAACUCAUCAGUUCCAGGUUGGAGACGCGGUCCUGAUACAGAGACAUCGUGCGGGAAACCUUGAACCAUGUGGUACUGUUGACUACCCCCCACCUCGGUGAAGGUAGAUGGGAUCCCUACCUGGGUACACGCCUCACACGUGAAGGCUCCCGAGUCUAGUCAAGAUGAAUGGUACUGUGGUACGGACUGAUAACCCUCUUAAGCUGUGCCUUCAGAGGGGGGACCCGGAGUCGCACCAACCCCCAUCAGCCUAGAACCUAUACCUGGGAAAUAGUCAACCAGGCAGGAGACCUCGCAAAUUCCUCCUCCGUGGUCACCACCACCACACCAUGGUAUGAUUUAGAGGUAGAUCUCUGUCGGCUGGCCCUGGGGGCUGACGCAGCCUGGGGCACCUCAGAUCACUACUUGCCCCAACAAAAACCUGUUAAUACCCAACAAAGGCAUAGCACUGUCCCAGGAUGCUAUAGUGCUGCAGCCAGGACAUACUUGACUAUGGCACCCAUAUAUGUCUGCCGGGGGUCGCGCAGAGAUCACUCUCUGACCACAAGGUGUGCUAUGCCCCGGACUACUAUUGUGCCUCUUGGGGAUGUGAGACAACUGGGGAUACUUACUGGAACCCAUCCGCCAGUUGGGACUAUAUUACAGUCAAGAGAAGAACCCCCCGACCCAACAACUUAAUUCAGGACCUACACCCUUAACUCGAACUGUGUUAAUAAUUGGUGUAAUCCCUUAGUCAUCUCUUUCACAGGAAAAGGCAAACAACAACAGUGGGAAGGCCGGGGGUAUGAAUGGGGCCUUCGUCUAUACAUAUCAGGGAAGGACCCCGGACUUACUUUCAAGCUUAGACUGAAAGUACAGAACACCCCAAGUGGACCAGUGGGCCCCAACAAGGUCCUGCCCAAUCAAAGGUCCCCAAAGGCCUCAGUGCCACCACUAGCCGCUCCAGCAGCUCUACCCUCGAAGGCGCCCACGUCUCCUCCUAGGGGACAUAACAGUACUAGCUUGCCAGUCACUAGUGUACCUUCAACCCUGUCCUAACUAGGCACCCUUCCACUGGGGAUAGACUGUUUAACCUUAUCCUUGGGGCCUACCAAGCUCUCAACCAAUCCAAUCCUAACGACACAGAGUCCUGUUGGCUGUGUCUAAUGGACAGUCCACCCUACAAUGAGGGGAUAGUGCUGGUAGGGAGCUACAGUAACUCCAGCUCACAUGGUGAAUGUGCUUGGCAGGAUCAGGGCAAGCUAACCAUACUGAAGUCUCUGGCUUGGGGCUAUGCUUGGGUAAGGUCCCCCCGAGCUAGCAAUAUCUCUGUAAUCAGACCUCUCUGAGCCCAACCACUACCCAAGAUUACUAUCUGGUACCUCCUAAUGGAACCUGGUGGGCCUGCAAUAUGGGUCUCACCCCGUGUUGCUACCAAGGUUUUCAAUAGAAAACUUAUAGAGACUAUUGUAUCCUUAUCCAGCUCUUGCCUAAGAUUAUAUACCAUGAUGCCCCAGGGUUCGAGGACCUGCUUGACAGGAGAGUAACCAGGUACAGGAGGGAACCCAUCUCCCUCACUCUAGCUGUGCUAGUGGGAUUAGGAGUGGUGGCCGGAGUAGGAACAGGGGCUGCUGCCCUGGUGACUCAGCAUCAGGGUUCUUAUCCUUACAGACAGCUAUUAAUGAAGAUCUUAGAGACCUACAAAGCUCCAUUGAGGCUCUAGAGAAGUCUCUGACCUCCCUCUUAGAAGUAGUUUUACAAAACAGAAGAGGACUUGACCUCCUAUUAAAGAAGGAGGACUGUGUGCCGCCUUGAAGGAAGAGCCUUGCUUUUAUGCUGAUCAUACUGGAGAGGUUAGAGACUCCAUGCAAAGACUCAAAGAGAGACGAGAUAAACGACAGAGGGACCUUGAGGCACAACAAGGAUGGUUUGAGUCUUGGUUCUCCCAUUCUCUGUGGCUGACCACUCUGUUGUCUGCUUUGGCCGGGCCCCUGGUGCUAUUGCUUCUGCUACUUACUUUUGGGCCUUGCGUGAUUAAUAGGCUUAUAGCUUUUGUUAGAGAAGGAGUUGGUGCUGUGCAAUUACUAAUCCUUAGACAACAAUAUAUGGCCUUACAAGAUCCUGAAGAUGAGCUGUAAUUCUAAGAUUAAAAUUAUUUACUAGACACUCCCCCCCCCCACCCACACACAAAAUUAUUUACUAGAAGAAGUGGGGAAUGAAAUAUUGUUCAAAAAUUCGUCUCGUCCCUGCGGGUCUGGAGAGAUGGCUCAGCGGUUAAGAGCACCGACUGCUCUUCCAGAGGUCCUGAGUUCAAUUUCCAGCAACCACGUGGAGGCUCACAACCAUCUGUCAUAGGAUCUGAUGCCCUCUUCUGGUGUGUCUGAAGACAGCUACAGUGUAUUCAUAUAAAUAAAAUAAAUCUUAAAAAAAAAAAAAAAAAAAAAAACUCAUCCCACUCAAGGCCUAAACCUGGCUUUCAGCCUGUACAAAUUAAUUCUGUCAGCCUGUACAACUUAAUUCUGACAUGACUCAAGUACUGGGAAGUUUGUGUUCCAGGAACUCAGAGGCCGAGACCGUGAGAUUAGAUAGCUGUCCUCCAUGGGUGAGUUCGGAGAAAAUGAGCUCCUCUGCCCUGCAUCCAGAGCUCCGAGAAAAGCCACAAAGAACAUCUGUGGGACCCCAGAUAUCUCUUCUGCCAGCUCAAGACCUGCUUGAGUUUAAAUAAGCACGGGGACCAAUCAUGUAUCACCCUGCCAUUCUUUACCCGCUCCUUCUCAAAAACCCUAUAUAUACUCUUGUGGUUUGGGGCCAAUCCCUCUGCCUCCUGCGUGAGGGUGAGGUACAUAUUGGUCCAGAGCUCUGCCCCAAUACAGCUUGUUGCCUUUGCAUCGGACCCAGUCUCUUGUUCUUGGGCGCCACUCCCUCCUGCUGUGCCUUCCAGCUCUGGGCAGCCUCGCUCUCCCAAACUGGGCAUGCCAGGGCUCCAAUAGCACAAGCCACCGCACUCUCCCGAACUGAGCGGGGUGGAGGAAUUCAGACUUAACAACCCCCUUAAGACUGACGCUAGAGGGGUUGAGGAUUUAGCUCAGCGGUAGAGCACUUGCCUAGAAAGCGCAAGGCCCUAGGUUCGGUCCUCAGCUCCAAGAGGGGGAAAAAAAAAAAAGGAAGACUGACACUAGAUCAUUGGACUAAAGUUAGGGACAGAGCACACAAUAUGUCAGUUGAAGGAAAGUGGCAGACUUUCGGUGUUGGCUGGCCCCCUGAGGGCUCUUUUGACCUGACUAUGAUUCUUGAUGUUAAAGUUGUUGUUUUUCAGGAAAAAAUUGGGAGCACAUCCUGACCAGCAACCUUACAUCUCGUUCUGGCAAGACCUGGUUCAAAAUCCUCCAUCCUGGAUUAAGCCUUGGGUUAAACCUGGCUCCCAGGCCCUGGUCCUUCGUGGCACAUCAGCCUCGCAAAAGAAACCAAAGGCUCCUCCCAAACCGAAGCCCUCAGUACCCUCUGCUCCUCCUAAGCUCUAUCCUGAGAUUGAGGAGCCUCUUGAGUGGCCAGCCCCUCCUUUGCUUCCCCCAUUUCCUCCCCAGCAGCCUCUAGUCUCUGCUCUGCAGGAGGGAGAAGUAGGAAGUGGGGGUCCAGUGACAGGAACCCAAAGCCGCAGAGUUCGGAGUCCUAUGGAACCUGACUCCACUGUAGUCAUGCCUUUGCGUACUUAUGGUAUCCCAGUGGACCCCCCUAACCUUCAACCCCUCCAGUACUGGCCCUUCUCUUCUGCGACCUUUAUAACUGGAAGGCUAAUCACCCCUCUUUCUCUGAGAAUCCCUCUGGCCUUCCUGGGCUGAUGGAGUCUUUGAUGCACUCACAUCAACCCAUGUGGGAUGACUGUCAGCAGCUCUUACAGAUCUUACUUACGACAGAAGAGAGGGAACGGAUCCUCCUGGAGGCACGCAAGAACGUGCCCAGAGCAGAUGGCCUGCCUACCCAGCUCCCUAAUGAGACAGAAGCAGGUUUUCCUCUGGACCGGCCCAACUGGGAUUUCAAUACUGCAGCAGGUAGGGAGCGACUGACAGUCUUCUGCUGGGCUCUGGUGGCAGGUCUCAAGGGGGCUGUGAGACGCCCUACCAAUCUGGCUAAGGUAAGAGAAAUAUUGCAAGGGCCUGUGGAGCCGCCAUCUGUUUUUCUAGAAUGCCUCAUGGAGGCUUACAGGAGAUAUACUCCUUUUGACCCUGCCUCUCCAGGACACCAGGCAGCAAUAGCUAUGGCUUUUAUAGGACAGUCAGCCCCUGAUAUUAAAACAAAAUUGCAGUUCAUGGAAGGAUUGCAGGACUAUACUUUGCAGGAUUUAGUUAAGGAGGCUGAGAAAGUGUAUCACAAAAGAGAGACACAGGAAGAGAGACAGGAAAGGGGAAAGAGAGAGACAGAAGAAUGAAGAGAUCGUAGACAAACAAGGAAUUUGACAAGGAUUUUGGCCAUGGUGGUAAGAGAAGGAGAUAGGGCAGGAUGCAGAUAGACAGGGAACCUGGGUGACAGAAGACCCAGAGCAGGAGAUGGGAGGAGGAAACCUCCCCUGGAAAAAGACCAGUGUGCUUGCUGCAAAGAGAGAGGCCACUGGGCAGGAGAGUGCCCUAAGAGGAAAGAAAAGACCCACAAAGUACUGAACAUACAAGAAGAUGAUUAGAGGGUACAGGGAUCAGUUCCCCUCCCCGAGCCUAGGGUAACCCUAACUGUGGAGGGGACCCCCUUAAACUUUCUGGUGGACACAGGUGCUGAAUAUUCUGUGUUGCAGCGACCUUUAGGGAAAUUAAGCACCAGAAAAACCACAGUGCUUGGGGCUACCGGACAAAAGCAGUGUUCUUGGACCACCUCCCGCACUGUGGACUUAGGGAAAGGCCAGGUUACCCAUGGCUUCCUGGUAACUCCAGAGUGCCCGACUCAUUUAUUAGGCAGAGACUUAUUGACUUUAAGUUAAAAGCCCAAAUUCAGUUUACCCCAUCCGGACCUGAAGUGAAAUGGGAAGAACCCGCAACCAUGAUACUGGCCUUAAAACUGGAAGAAGAAUAUAGGUUACAUGAACAACCAAGGAAGGAGGUGACUCCAGACCUAGAUUGGUGGCUAUCUAAUAUUCCUCAAGCCUGGGCAGAGACGGGGGGCAUGGGCAUGGCAGUUAGAGUUCCUCCGAUGGUAGUGGAGCCCAAGUCAGAUAGCACUCCCAUUGGAGUUGGACAGUACCCGACGAGCCGAGAAGCUAGGGAUGGAAUGUGAGCACACAUACAGCGACUCCUUUCCUUGGGCAUUCUGGUGCCAUGCCAGUCACCCCGGAGCACCCCUCUGUUGCCUGUAAGAAAGCCUGGCACCAAUGAUUACAGACCAGUACAAGACUUGACAGCGGUAAACAAGAGAAUGCAGGAUACACACCCAACUGUUCCGAAUCCAUAUAACCUCCUUAGUUCACUCCCACCUGAACGGCAAUGGUAUGCUGUUCUUGAUCUGAAAGGAUGCCUUUUUCUGUCUAAAGCUUCAUUCCAGCAGUCAGCCAAUCUUUGCUUUUGAAUGGAAGGACACCCAGACACUGGACAAACUGGCCGACUCACCUGGACUAGACUGCCCCAAGGAUUUAAAAAUUCACCCACACUUUUUGAUGUGGCGUUGCAUCGAGAUUUGGCCACCUUCGGGACUGCACACCCCCAGGGAACCCUCCUGCAGUACGUAGAUGACCUGUUGGUGGCGGCCUCCACCAAAGAAGAACGCCUCCAUGGGCCUAAGGACUUGCUUACAGAACUGGGUGAGUUGGGAUAUCGAGCCACCGCCAAGAAGGCUCAGCUAUGUCAGACUGAAGUAACCUACUUAGGUUACUCUUUAAGAGAAGGGAAACGGUAGCUGACAGAGGCCAGAAAGAAAACAGUUACACAGAUCCCUGUACCUACCACCCCCUCGAGAAGUAAGGGAGUUCUUGGGUACAGCUGGGUUUUGUAGACUGUGGAUUCCUGGGUUUGCCACAAUGGCAGCCCCAUUGUACCCUCUGACUAAAGAAGGGAAAACAUUUUCUUGGACCCCCGACCAUCAGAAGGCUUUCGAUGAGAUCAAGAAAGCCUUAUUAUCAGCCCCUGCCCUGGCAUUGCCAGAUUCGACUAAGUCAUUCGCCUUAUACUUGGAUGAGAGAGCUGGAGUGGCUAGAGGGGUUGUUACUCAGACUUUGGGACCCUGGAGAAGACCAGUGGCCUACUUAUCUAAAAAACUAGACCCAGUUGCGCGUGGGUGGCCCUCUUGCCUGAGAGCCACUGCGGCCGUAGCCCUGCUUAUCAAAGAUGCUGAUAAAUUGACCUUGGGGCAGCAAAUGACUUUAAUAGCCCCACACUCUCUUGAGAGUAUUGUGCGACAGCCCCCGGAUCGAUGGAUGACGAAUGCUAGAAUGACACACUACCAGAGCCUGUUGUUGACCGAUAGGAUAACCUUUGCCCCUCCUGUCAUCCUAAACCCUGCCACCCUGUUACCGGAGACUGAAGACUCAACCCCAGCACAUCAAUGUGAAGAAAUCCUGGCAGAAGAGACCAACCAUGGCCAGGAGGUUCCACCUGGUACACGGAUGGCAGCAGCUUCAUGGUUGAAGGUAAACGGGUGGCAGGGGUAGCAGUAGUGAACGUGACUGAUGUCAUCUGGGCUAACCAUCUGCCAGAAGGAACCUCAGCAUAGAAAGCGAAUUGAUAGCCCCCAACUGAGCCCUACAGAUGGCAGAGGGCAAGACUAAGCAUCUAUACAGACAGCAGGUACGCGUUUGGUACUGCGCAUAUACAUGGGGCCAUAUACAGACAGAGGGGACUGCUGACCUCAGCAGGAAGAGAUAUUAAAAAUAAAGAAGAGGGGUUGGGGAUUUAGCUCAGUGGUAGAGCGCUUGCCUAGGAAGCGCAAGGCCCUGGGUUCGGUCCCCAGCUCCGAAGGGGGAAAAAAAAAUAAAAUAAAGAAGAAAUACUUAGCCUAUUGGAAGCUAUCCACCUGCCUAAGAAAGUGGCCAUUAUCCACUGCCCAGGCCACCAAAAGGGACAAAGCAGAAUUGCAAAAGGGAACAGAAUGGCUGACUCAGUAGCCAGAGAAGCGGUGUAGGGGGUGAUGAUGAUGACGGGGAGUUCCCUGCACCACCAAAUAGUCCCAAAACCAGACAUCGAAUACAUCACAGAAGAUCACCAGCAUAUGGACGAGCUAGGGUUCUCACCUCCAGCGAAAGACAAGAGGAGGUAUGCCCCGGAUGGUAAACUGGCCCUACCCCAGACAGAAGGACAUGCCUAUGUGGACCACUUACACCGCCUGACUCAUUUGGGAACAAAAAAUCUUAAGACUCUGAUCAAAGCCUCAAAUUAUUAUAUCCCUAAACUUUCAGAGACUAUUGACAGAGUGAUAAAAGACUGUGCCCUGUGCCAUGAUUAAUGCAGGACAUUCGAGACUCCCUCUAGGAAAGAGACUCAGAGGGAGUCGGCCGGGCGUCUAUUGAGAAGUGGACUUCGCUGAGGUCAAACCUGCCAAGUAUAGUGAUAAGUAUCUCUUAGUUUUUAUAGAUACCUUUUCAGGAUGGGUGGAGGCUUACCCCACUAAGUUGGAGACUGCCACCGUAGUGGCUAAAAAGAUCCUUGAAGAAAUCUUUCCCAGGUUUGGAAUACCCAAGGUAAUUGGGUCUGAACAUUCCUGGCCCCUUUGGCCUAACACCUUAUGAGAUUAUGUAUGGGAGUCCCCCGCCCCUCCUUGAAUCGGGCAGAGCCCCCUGCCCUGAGGCUCUUCCUAAAACCCUGUUUGCUCAUUUGAAGGCUUUAAGAGACAGUCCAGAGUGAAAUCUGGAGCCGAGUGAAAGAAGCCUACAAGACCGGAAGUCCAGAAAUGCCUCACCGGUUCCAAGUGGGAGACACAGUCCUGGUCCGGCGACACUGAGCUGGGAAUUUAGAACCUCACUGGAAAGGACCCUACCUAAUACUGUUAACCUCUCCCACUACUGUUAAGAGAUGGCAGGACUAGGUCGGAGGCCCAUAGAUGUGGAGGGCUGGAUCAUUACUUUUGUAAACAAUGGACGUGUGAAACCACCGGAGAUGCUUAUUGGAAACCGACUUCUUCCUGGGAUCUAAUCUCAGUUAAUGGAAACUCUGCAGCAUCGGGGACCGACCCCCUGAAUAUUGUCUUUACCAAGAAAGGGCAUGAAUCCCGAGAUUGGAUGAGAGGAUGUGGGGAUUGCGCUUCUAUAUGACUGGUUAUGAUAAGGGAUUCACAUUUUCCAUUUGGCUUAGGUAGAGGCUCCCAUUUCUGUCCCCAUCGGGCCCAGUCUCGUUCUGCAGCCUCUCAAGCCGCAGUCCAAACCUACAGCACCCCCAGACCCUGUGACAGGGACCCUGCAGGGACUCAGACACCUAUAAUACCUCUAUCUGCCUCUCCUCCACAUACUGUAGACCAGCUAAUGAACAUAGUUGAUUGACAACCUCCGCAGUAUCAGGGAAAGGAACCUGCAUGGGCGUGGUCCCGGCUUCCCACCAAAACCUGUGUAACACCACCCAGAUGUUCAGCUCUAACUACAGAUAUCUGCUAGCCCCAUCGGAAGGGUGGUGGGCCUGUAAUUCCGGUUUGACCCCUUGUGUUUCUCUGGCCGUGUUAAAUCAAAAUGCCUCCUUUUGUGUCCUUGUACAGUUAGUGCCUGUAGAGAGCGGCUAAAGAUGGCUCCGACAUCCGGUGGUCGUUGGUGAUAAACACCUGCAAUGCGCAUGUGUUGGCAUUUCUCCGGCAGUUAUCAGACUGGAGUGAUAUUCAUGCUAAUAAGGUAUUUCAUACUCCACCAAUCCCCAGAGGACAAGUUUACUGUCACAGCCUGUCUUGUAUUUAAGGUGAGUGCCUUUGUUCCUCGGGGUCCCCGAAUCAAGAAUGAGGUGUUCCUGCAAUAAAAGCUGUUGAGAAGAA